GAUGAACGCUGGCGGCGUGCCUAAUACAUGCAAGUCGAGCGAACAGACGAGGAGCUUGCUCCUCUGACGUUAGCGGCGGACGGGUGAGUAACACGUGGAUAACCUACCUAUAAGACUGGGAUAACUUCGGGAAACCGGAGCUAAUACCGGAUAAUAUAUUGAACCGCAUGGUUCAAUAGUGAAAGACGGUUUUGCUGUCACUUAUAGAUGGAUCCGCGCCGCAUUAGCUAGUUGGUAAGGUAACGGCUUACCAAGGCAACGAUGCGUAGCCGACCUGAGAGGGUGAUCGGCCACACUGGAACUGAGACACGGUCCAGACUACUACGGGAGGCAGCAGUAGGGAAUCUUCCGCAAUGGGAGAAAGCCUGACGGAGCAACGCCGCGUGAGUGAUGAAGGUCUUCGGAUCGUAAAACUCUGUUAUUAGGGAAGAACAAAUGUGUAAGUAACUAUGCACGUCUUGACGGUACCUAAUCAGAAAGCCACGGCUAACUACGUG
rnacentral:rRNA from 1 species